rnacentral:tRNA from 1 species
GCCUAGGUGGCUCAGUCAGUUAAGCGUCUGACUUCAGCUCAGGUCACGAUCUCACAGUUUGUGGGUUCCAGCCCCACAUCGGGCU